CCUACGGGUAGCAGCAGUGAGGAAUAUUGGUCAAUGGGCGCGAGCCUGAAGCAGCCAAGUAGCGUGCAGGAUGACUGCCCUACGGGUUGUAAACUUCUUUUAUAAAGGAAUACAGUGAGACACGUGUGCCUUUUUGUAUGUACUUUAUGAAUAAGGAUAGGCUAACUCCGUGCCAAGAGCCGCGGUAAUACGGAGGAUCCGAGCGUUAUUCGGAUUUAUUUGGUUUAAAGGGAGCGGAUAUGGGUGUUUAAGGUAUUUGUGUAAGUUUGCGGCUUAACCGUAAAAUUGCAUUUGAUACUGGCAGUCUUGAGUACAGUUGAGGUAGGCGGAAUUCGUGGUGUAGCGGUGAAAUGCUUAGAUAUCACGAAGAACUCCGAUUGCGAAGGCAGCUUACUAAGCUGCCACUGACAUUGAUGCUCGAAAGUGUGGGUAUCAAACAGGAUUAGAUACCCGAGUAGUC
rnacentral:rRNA from 1 species